UAGGGAAUAUUGCGCAAUGGGCGAAAGCCUGACGCAGCGAUACCGCGUGAGUGAGGAAUGUCUUCGGAUUGUAAAGCUCUGUCGAGGUGGAAAAAUGGCCAGAAGUCUAAUAGGCUUUUGGUUUGAUGGUACACCUGAAGGAAGCACCGGCAAACUUCGUGCCAGCAGCCGCGGUAAUACGAAGGGUGCAAGCGUUGUUCGGAUUUAUUGGGCGUAAAGCGCGCGCAGGCGGAUUUAUAAGUCGGUUGUGAAAUCUCGGAGCUCAACUCCGAAAGUGCGACCGAAACUGUUAAUCUAGAAUAUCGGAGGGGGAAGGGGAAUUUCGCAUGUAGGGGUAAAAUCCGUAGAUAUGCGAAGGAACACCAGAGGCGAGAGCGCCUUCCUGGACGAUUAUUGACGCUGAGGCGCGAAAGCGUGGGGAGCAAACAGG
rnacentral:rRNA from 1 species